AGUGAACGCUGGCGGUAGGCCUAACACAUGCAAGUCGAACGGCAGCACAGAGGAGCUUGCUCCUUGGGUGGCGAGUGGCGGACGGGUGAGGAAUACAUCGGAAUCUACUCUGUCGUGGGGGAUAACGUAGGGAAACUUACGCUAAUACCGCAUACGACCUACGGGUGAAAGCAGGGGAUCUUCGGACCUUGCGCGAUUGAAUGAGCCGAUGUCGGAUUAGCUAGUUGGCGGGGUAAAGGCCCACCAAGGCGACGAUCCGUAGCUGGUCUGAGAGGAUGAUCAGCCACACUGGAACUGAGACACGGUCCAGACUCGUACGGGAGGCAGCAGUGGGGAAUAUUGGACAAUGGGCGCAAGCCUGAUCCAGCCAUACCGCGUGGGUGAAGAAGGCCUUCGGGUUGUAAAGCCCUUUUGUUGGGAAAGAAAUCCAGCUGACUAAUACCCGGUUGGGAUGACGGUACCCAAAGAAUAAGCACCGGCUAACUUCGUGCCAGCAGCCGCAGUAACAC
rnacentral:rRNA from 1 species